rnacentral:lncRNA from 1 species
UCAGAAGAGCCUAUCAAGGACUUGAGUACCAAACAAGCAUUUCCACAAAAAAGCAGUGACACAAAUCACUAUGUAAUAUAGUUAGCCUUUGAACAACACGGAUUUGAACUGCAGGGGUCUACUUAUGAGCAGAUUUUCUCCCACCUCUACCACCUGAGACAGCGAAGACUAAUCUUCCUCUUCCUCCUUCUCCUUAGCCUGCUCAACUUGAAGACUAUGAUGAAGAGUUAUAGAAUGAUCCACUUGCAUUUA